rnacentral:pre_miRNA from 1 species
AAUGGAAUCACCUAGAGAUGACAUUAAAAUGUAGAUUCUGAUCCAGCAGAUCUGUAGUGAGCCUGAGAAUCUGCAUUUCUAACACUUCCUAGUGAUGCUGAU